rnacentral:snRNA from 1 species
AUUGCUUCUUGGCCUUUUGGCUAAGAUCAAGUGUAAAAGAUGGUUCAUGUAUGCAUUCUUUUUUUUUUUUUUUUUUUUGAGACAGAGUCUCGCUGUGUCUCCCAGGCUGGAGUGCAGUGGCGUGAUCUCGGCUCACUGCAAGCUCCGCCUCCCGGGUUCACGCCAUUCUCC